rnacentral:lncRNA from 1 species
CUUUGACUUGUUCACAUGUUCCUGAAUUGAUGGGCUCCUCCUGUUUCUUUCUAGGGUUUUCCUAGAACCGUGCUGUAGUAAACAUGGUUUCAUCCGAGGGUCUGAGCAGCAUUUCCCAGUGGAGGAAAAGGCACCUCACAGGGAUGUGAAGGGUGCCCACUAAAUACACAUUUUACCCAAAGGGACCCUGCCACUCACUGAGGAGGAGGCUGAUGAAUACCAGGAGCCCAGUCAUCCAGAAGAAGGACCGGUUCUUGGAGCAGGACCCCAUGGCAGGUUGCCUGCUGGCCUGUUCAGCUGCAGCGGAAACAGAAGAGAGGAAGAGAACUGCUCUGCAGAUUUCCAGGAGAGAGGAUAUUCAAGAUUGGCUCGAUUCUGACUACCCCACGUGGUAAAGAGGAAGUUACUGCAAGCAAGAGAGAUCAGAUUGUUACUGUGUCUAUGUAGAAAGAAGUAGACAUAGGAGACUCCAUUUUGUUCUGUACUAAGAAAAAUUCUUCUGCCUUGAGAUUCUGUUAAUCUAUAACCUUACCCCCAACCCCGUGCUCUCUGAAUCGUGUGCUGUGUCAACUCAGAGUUAAAUGGAUUAAGGGCGGUGCAAGAUGUGCUUUGUUAAACAGAUGCUUGAAGGCAGCAUGCUCCUUAAGAGUCAUCACCACUCCCUAAUCUCAAGUACCCAGGGACACAAAAACUGCGGAAGGCCGCAGGGACCUCUGCCUAGGAAAGCCAGGUAUUGUCCAAGGUUUCUCCCCAUGUGAUAGUCUGAAAUAUGGCCUCGUGGGAAGGGAAAGACCUGACCGUCCCCCAGCCCGACACCCGUAAAGGGUCUGUGCUGAGGAGGAUUAGUAAAAGAGGAAGGAAUGCCUCUUGCAGUUGAGACAAGAGGAAGGCAUCUGUCUCCUGCCUGUCCCUGGGCAAUGGAAUGUCUCGGUAUAAAACCCGAUUGUACGUUCCAUCUACUGAGAUAGGGAAAAACCGCCUUAGGGCCGGAGGUGGGACCUGCGGGCAGCAAUACUGCUCUGUAAGGCAUUGAGAUGUUUAUGUGUAUGCAUAUCUAAAGCACAGCACUUAAUCCUUUACCUUGUCUAUGAUGCAAAGACCUUUGUUCACGUGUUUGUCUGCUGACCCUCUCCCCACAAUUGUCUUGUGACCCUGACACAUCCCCCUCUUGGAGAAACACCCACAAAUGAUCAAUAAAUACUAAGGGAACUCAGAGGCUGGCGGGAUCCUCCAUAGGGGAUCCUCCAUAUGGGAUCCUCCAUAUGCUGAACGCUGGUUCCCCGGGUCCCCUUAUUUCUUUCUAUAUACUUUGUCUCUGUGUCUUUUUCUUUCCUAAGUCUCUCGUUCCACCUUACGAGAAACACCCACAGGUGUGUAGGGGCAACCCACCCCUACAAUAUCACAGCCGCUCUCCCAUCCCACUGUG